GACGAACGCUGGCGGCGUGCUUAACACAUGCAAGUCGAACGGAAAGGCCCCUUUGGGGGUACUCGAGUGGCGAACGGGUGAGUAACACGUGAGUAACCUGCCCUUGACUUCGGGAUAACUUCAGGAAACUGGGGCUAAUACCGGAUAGGAAUCCUUGCUGCAUGGUGGGGGUUGGAAAGCUUCGGCGGUUUUGGAUGGACUCGCGGCUUAUCAGCUUGUUGGUGGGGUAGUGGCUUACCAAGGCUUUGACGGGUAGCCGGCCUGAGAGGGCGACCGGCCACAUUGGGACUGAGAGACGGCACAGACUCCUACGGGAGGCAGCAGGGGGGAAUAUUGCACAAUGGGCGGAAGCCUGAUGCAGCAACGCCGCGUGCGGGAUGACGGCCUUCGGGUUGUAAACCGCUUUCAGCAGGGGCGAAGCUUGUGGUGACGGUACCUGCAGAAGAAGCACCGGCUAACUACGUG
rnacentral:rRNA from 1 species